UACAGAGGUGGCAAGCGUUGUUCGGAAUUACUGGGCGUAAAGGGCGCGUAGGCGGUCUUGCAAGUCCCGUGUGAAAUCCCUCGGCUCAACUGAGGAACUGCACGGGAAACUGCUUGGCUUGAGUUCGGGAGAGGGAAGCGGAAUUCCGGGUGUAGCGGUGAAAUGCGUAGAUAUCAGGAAGAACACCCGUGGCGAAAGCGGCUCUCUGGAACGGUACUGACGCUGAGACGCGAAAGCGUGGGGAGCGAACAGG
rnacentral:rRNA from 1 species